rfam:Camelus ferus unplaced genomic scaffold scaffold172, whole genome shotgun sequence.
GUGGGGAUAGCUCAGUGGUAAAGCGUGUGCCUGGCAUGCACAAGGUCCUGGGUUCAAUCCCCAGUGCCUCCG